GAUGAACGCUAGCGGCAGGCUUAAUACAUGCAAGUUGAGGGGCAGCAUGAUAUACGCGAGUAUAUUGAUGGCGACCGGCGGACGGGUGAGUAAUAGGUAGGAGACCUACCUCAUACAGGGGGAUAGCAUAGAGAAAUCUGUGGUAAUACCCCAUGAGGUUAUAUGAAUAGAGGCAUAUAAUCAAAGCAUAAGCGAUUAUGCGGUAUGAGAGGGGCCUACUGACCAUUAGCUAGUUGGUGAGGUAAGGGCUCACCAAGGCGAAGAUGGUUAGGGGUUUUGAGAGAGAGACCCCCCACAUUGGAACUGAGAUACGGUCCAGACUCCUACGGGAGGCAGCAGUAGGGAAUAUUGGGCAAUGGGCGGAAGCCUGACCCAGCCAUGCCGCGUGAAGGAAGACGGCCUUAUGGGUUGUAAACUUCUUUACUAUGCGACUAACUAGAUUUACGAGAUAAUUCUAUAGAAUGUAAGCAUAGCAAAAGCACCGG
rnacentral:rRNA from 1 species